UACGUAGGGGGGCGAGCGUUGUCCGGAGUUACUGGGCGUAAAGCGCACGCAGGCGGUCUGCUAAGUUUGGAGUGACAGUUGGUGGCUUAACUGCCAAAGUGCUUCGAAAACUGACAGACUUGAGGGCUUCAGAGGGACAUGGAAUUCCGGGGUGUAGCGGUGGAAUGCGUAGAGAUCCGGAAGAACACCGGUGGCGAAGGCGGUCUGCUGGGCCAAGACUGACGCUGAGGCGCGACAGCGUGGGGGAGCAAACAGG
rnacentral:rRNA from 1 species